rnacentral:rRNA from 1 species
GACGAACGCUGGCGGCGUGCCUAAUACAUGCAAGUAGAACGCUGAAGAGAGGAGCUUGCUCUUCUUGGAUGAGUUGCGAACGGGUGAGUAACGCGUAGGUAACCUGCCUUGUAGCGGGGGAUGACUAUUGGAAACGAUAGCUAAUACCGCAUAACAAUGGAUGACACAUGUCAUUUAUUUGAAAGGGGCAAUUGUUCCACUACAAGAUGGACCUGCGUUGUAUUAGCUAGUAGGUGAGGUAAUGGCUCACCUAGGCGACGAUACAUAGCCGACCUGAGAGGGUGAUCGGCCACACUGGGACUGAGACACGGCCCAGACUCCUACGGGAGGCAGCAGUAGGGAAUCUUCGGCAAUAGGGGCAACCCUGACCGAGCAACGCCGCGUGAGUGAAGAAGGUUUUCGGAUCGUAAAGCUCUGUUGUAAGUCAAGAAUGGGUGUGAGAGUGGAAAGUUCACACUGUGACGGUAGCUUACCAGAAAGGGACGGCUAACUACGUG